UACGUAGGGUGCAAGCGUUAAUCGGAAUUACUGGGCGUAAAGCGUGCGCAGGCGGUUUUGUAAGACAGAGGUGAAAUCCCCGGGCUCAACCUGGGAACUGCCUUUGUGACUGCAAGGCUGGAGUGCGGCAGAGGGGGAUGGAAUUCCGCGUGUAGCAGUGAAAUGCGUAGAUAUGCGGAGGAACACCGAUGGCGAAGGCAAUCCCCUGGGCCUGCACUGACGCUCAUGCACGAAAGCGUGGGGAGCAAACAGGAUUAGAUACCCUGGUAGUCCACGCCCUAAACGAUGUCAACUGGUUGUUGGGAAUUUACUUUCUCAGUAACGAAGCUAACGCGUGAAGUUGACCGCCUGGGGAGUACGGCCGCAAGGUUAAA
rnacentral:rRNA from 1 species